UCUCUUGUCUAAUCUCUUUCCUAAGAUCAACAGAUCUUUUGCUGUUUUCCUUAACAGAUAUUCUUAGUGAGGACUUCCAAUGUGCAAGAUGCUGACUGGGGUGUUGUGACAGCCUACAGGAUACUUUUGAAGUUUUCAAGAGUUAAGUCUCUGAAGACCCAGAAUAGAGUGGAGUGGAUCUUCCAUUGCGGCAGGAAAUGUUGAAUAAGUAACUCUACAUAGUUUCUCUGGAGGAAUUCAGAGGGCAUCAAAGGGACACCAGCCCAGGGCAGGCUUCAGUAUCAGUCCUGCAAGUGGAACGUGGGGCCCACGGAACGUGCAAUGGUUCGGAGCAGCUGUGACAUGGGCUGAAGUUCCGGCAACUUCCUGGCCACAGGAUCGCAGCUGCGGUGCUAUGAUUUCAAUGCUGGGAGCGCUGACUUUGACUUCCACUCUUCCAAUGAUUAUGUAAGGACUGAAUCCCCCUCAUUAAACAUGCAGCUGCUUGAAAUAUCCACAGCACUUGGUUUCCUACACUGAACCAUAACUGAUAUGGUUCAUGUCUUUAAUUUUGCUCUGCUGUGUUAAUGUAUGUGGAGAAUAACCAUUUAUUUCUUUAUGUUCUUGUAGUCUGAUUAUUUUACUGUUUACCAUUAUUGCUGUUUUCAACUCCAACACUUUGUUGUUACCAAGAGUUUUUCCCACUACAGUGACUAUGAGUGGUUAGCGGGGCAAGGUGGGGAAUGAAAGUUUUUGCCUUUCCUAACUGGGUUAUAAUGAAACAAGUUUGAGAGUCAUUAUUCUAAUUAAAUCUGCUAUUUCAGCCAA